CCCUAGUGGCGGACGGGUGAGUAACGCGUGGGUAACCUGCCAUAUACAGGGGGAUAACACUUAGAAAUAGGUGCUAAUACCGCAUAAGCGCACAGGGGCGCAUGCCCCGGUGUGAAAAACUCCGGUGGUAUAUGAUGGACCCGCGUCUGAUUAGCCAGUUGGCAGGGUAACGGCCUACCAAAGCGACGACCAGUAGCCGGCCUGAGAGGGCGGACGGCCACAUUGGGACUGAGACACGGCCCAAACUCCUACGGAAGGCAGCAG
rnacentral:rRNA from 1 species